UUUAAUAGUAUAGAUGUAAUAUAGAAAUAAAAAUAAUAAUAAGUUCGAGAUGCUCUUUAACUUAAAAAUGAAUUAUAUUAUAGAUGCCCAGGAUCAAUCAAUGAUAACAUGUUCCACCAAAACUCAAUCUUUCAAUUCUUAUAAUCAAAAGGUUCAUAUUCGUAAGAUAGAAACAUUGUUUUCUGUUAAAAUAAAACAAAAAUAACAAAAAAAAAACAAUUCUUUGAAUCGGAUAAUUAGAUAUAAUAACAUCUUAUAUAUUAAAACAGAAGUCACAACCUUGAUUCAUGUGUGAUUUUUUUUAAAAAUGGACCUAUUCAUAGAAAUUCA
rnacentral:lncRNA from 1 species